UACGAAGGGGGCAAGCGUUGUUCGGAAUUACUGGGCGUAAAGGGCGCGCAGGCGGCCGAUCAAGUCAGAUGUGAAAGCCCCGGGCUCAACCUGGGAAUAGCAUUUGGGACUGGUCGGCUAGAGUUCGGGAGAGGAGAGUGGAAUUCCCAGUGUAGAGGUGAAAUUCGUAGAUAUUGGGAAGAACACCGGUGGCGAAGGCGGCUCUCUGGACCGACACUGACGCUGAGGCGCGAAAGCGUGGGGAGCGAACAGG
rnacentral:rRNA from 1 species